AUGGGAGCGCGGCACGGGAGCGGACGGCCGCGGGACAAGGACGUGGCCCCGGGCCCAACCGGUUCCGCGUAGAGCCUGUUUCUCCCAGAGCUAGGAAGGAGGAAAACUACUCCAGCUCUAUGUUAAGGAUGGUGACAGGUACGUGGGCCUCUCACCGCUGUGGCCUCUCCCGUCGCGGAGCACAGGCUCCGGACGCGCAGGCUCAGCGGCCAUGGCUCAUGGGCCCAGCCGCUCCACGGCACGCGGGAUCUUCCCGGAGCGGGGCACGAACCCGUGUCCCCUGCAUCGGCAGGCAGACUCUCAACCACUGCGCCACCAGCGAGGCAUAUGGGACCUUAGCUCCCCGACCAGGGAUCGAACCUCAUCCCCUGCAUUGGAAGGCGAAGUCUUAAUCACUGGACCACCAGGGAAGUCCCCAAAGGAACUAAUUUUAGAAGUCUCAAUUUUUGAAAGCAAACAUAGACUCAGAAGCAGGGUGAAGCAAGCUAAACGUAUAUCCUCUCCCCAGCCAUGCCCUCAACACACUCCUCUUUCAAAAAUCGCUUUAUAGGAAGCUGUUGAGAAAACAAGCAAACUGAUAGCUUGACUAAAUGGCUCCACUGAUUCAAUAAAAGAAUUUAAACCUGAUACCCAAGUACUUCUGUCCUAGAAGUGCAAGAUCACACAUCCAACUGACAACACAAUUUGGCUGCACAGAAGGACGGCGUGCACACGGAGGAAGAGCCGAGUUGAACUUCUCUGAGUAAAAAUACAUAAAAUCGUUUCCCCAAGAGCUUUGAUGGGAUAAACGUUCACUUCUAUAGUGCAAAAGAUAACAUACUAUACAAAACAGGUCAAAUGUUUUACUUUAAAAGUGUGCCUCUUUGGGAAAAACUACCAGGUUUGAUACUUUAAAUCUUUUCAUUCUGGAACUGAAGUCAGCAAGUAGACAUAUCUUGUAAUUUCAGUUUAUUAAUAGUUUUGUUAUGAUUUUUAAAACCAGAUUACAAAAUGCUUAACUAACUCAAUACUUAUUUUUAAAAAGUCCUAAAUUUGGUGUAUUAUGACAGUUUACAAGUAGUAGCAUUUCCUCCACCCCACCCCCCGCCCCAUCGCAAGGUCAAUUCUGUGGAUAUUUAAAAGUUUGUUUCUAUUUUAACUAGCUCACAGACCCAAUUCUUUAAGAGCUGAGCUGAUUUCUUUCUAGCACAUGGUCUACAGACCCUGCUCAUGGUAACCUUCUUUCCACCCCCUUCCAAAAAAGUCAGCACCUUCCAGCAUGAUGGACAUUUUAAGUUAAAACCGUCAAUACAACCCUCAAAAUGCAAGUUUAUUGAAUAAAGCUGAGAAGAGCAGUAAAACAGACAAAAAACGCAUCCACCUAAAUAAAAAAAUUCACAUAUUUACAAAGUUCAGUAACUGUUAGGUUCCACAUGCAGAGGUUAAUGCACAGGAAAAUGUUGGUAGUAGUAUCUGGAUGUCUUGAAACCCUGGAAGCAAUGAACAGACACACAAACACAUUACGGUUUAGCUGUAGGUCAAUUAAUGAACCUAUGCGGUCCCCACAGAGUCACACAUUCUUGUUCUGAUUCCUCCUUUUAGGCACAAGCAAAUUGCCACAUUCUUUGUAAUGGUUCACAGUGACCAUUAAUGGUGUUGAAGUACAGUAGCAAGUUUAAAUAUCCCUUCAUUUACAGAACCAUCCAUCCCAUCAGGGAAGUAUGCAACAUGCUUCAAAGAAUAAGAACAGAAUUUUAAAAGCCAAGAUUCUACUCAUAAAAAUGUGAAUGGAGAAAAGCAAAUAGUGUCUGUGCAACACGGUGCAGUAUUUUGUACAGAAUAUCAUUAAGGCCAUGGCAGUCUAUAAAUUAAAACUGAUAUCAUUAAAAGAACUUACUGUUGACUGCACUUCGAGUGCUCAACAUGUCUGGAAAUGCACUGUCUACAUGAGUGCUGCUUAACAAAAGAAACAAAAUCACACAUAGUGUGAGGCAACACACUACGCAAGUGUACCACAAAGUUUUAUCUACUACAGUGGGCUACGUAACAAUUUACAAGUGCUCCAGUUUUAAUAUGUCCCUUUAUGUGCAUGGAGAUCACUAAACUACAAAACACGUUCAGGUAAGUUUUCAUACAUCUCUGUAUCAUAGAAGCAAACAACAGACAGCAUCACUUCCUCACCUCUGUGUGAUUAUUCAACAGCCUGCAGCCGUUGUGCAUGAUUACAUCAGAUAAAGCAGGCAGGUCUAGAGUUGUCACAAUAAACAAGAUGUCUAAUGGCACCAGACAAAAGAGUGCCAAACCUUACAUCGAUAAGAGAGAAAAAUAAGAAUUUUUAUUUGUUUCUAAGUAUCUAUUGUGCUGAAAGUCAACUUUAUGACGGAAUAUAAAAAGUCAAGAGUUAGAGUGUCAUGCAGCAGCACUGCUUUAGUGACUGGAGAGAGAAAGAACAGACAGGUGUUUCAACAGUCUGACAUUCUUAACACGUUUAUUAUAUUGGCUAGAAUGCUCUAAAUUCAUGAAAGCUUUUGAGAAAAUCUUCAAUUCCCAACCCCUUAAAAAAGUGUGUUGAACCAGGAAAAAGAAAAGAAAAAAUAUAGAAGUAAUGAUCUGGACAGAUACAAAACAGCAUGCCUCAGUUCCUCCCGUACCCCCGACUGCUAUCUGGAGAAGAACUCUCAGAAAGCAGAAUGUGUUUAAAAUUCAUCGCCCAAGAUCUUGCCAGUGUAAAGAAGGAACAACAACAUUGAUCUGGUGCCUCUAUUCACUCUUUGCAGACCGUUUUUUAAAUUCCUAAGGUGUAAUUAUACAUUUCACAUGCAUUUGUGAGAUAUGUAAACAUUUUGUUUCUAUCCCACAUGAGUCAGGCUAAAGGUUUUCUAAAUACUGUGUGUGGCACUAGAAACUUCAUGCUGUUAUCAAGUCAGUAUCAGUAUUAAGCUACUGGACUCUAUAAUGAAAUAUCAUAGACAGACAUUUACUGAAAACCAAUAUAAAAACCUGGCCCAGAAAGACCAGAACAGAAAUAUGCAAUUUUUCUUGAUUUAAGAUGGUCAAAAGUGUGGGUUUUUUUUAAAAAAGCUCUACACACUGUUUAAGACAAGUAUGUAUAAGAAGCCUUUUUGUGUGCUGACUUUAUCAUGACAACUCUAGCUGAUUCUUUAUGAAGGGUUAAGGAUACACAUCUUCAGCAGUGCACAUGAGAAAUAAACUCUGAAAAAGGCAAUUUCUUGGGUUUAGGAAGGACCAUAUUCUGGGAAGUACUUCAGAGGAACGGACAAUAAUUCUGGGAUUGUAGCCAGGAAGGACUGGAAGACUUCAGGAGAUGCUUCAGCUUCUUCUAGAUUUUGAAUGUUGAAUAAGCCACUGAAGUGUGAUAUCUAAAGAUGGAGGGGAAAAGAGUGAAGAUGUUACGAUACCAAAGUUAAGAAACUAAAUAUCAGAGAAUAUUUAAAACGCAGCUAUUUCAAAGCAUAUCCUGGGCCUGCCCUCUUCUUUUCUGCCUCUAUACUACUAUACUUAUAUAGAUAUCUGUAUCUAUCCCACUAUUCUUCAUUCCCUGACCUUCAAGAGGUUAAUCUGGAAACAUGAGAGACUGAAGAGUCUCCAAUUUAAAAGCUAAAUUGUGUACAGAACAGCUUGUGCCUUCCUUUAUUCAUUCAAAAGUUUACUGAUUGCCUGUAAGAUCAGGUAUUGUGUGUGAAGCUCCAGGAUGCAAAGAGACGGGAAAACCACUCUCUGCCCUCGAGGAGCUUUCAGUAUGCUGGAAAACAUGCAGGUAGUCGUCUGGGUUUGGAGGACAGCCUCCACAGAAUUCCAGGUAAAAGAAAGAGCAAAACGCAUAGGAUAAGCAGAGGCAUGAAACUGUGUGGAGCUCUGGCUGGAUGACAAGUGAUAAGAUGUGGCUGAAGCACAGGGAUGGGUGAGGGGGGUGCCACUCAUUGCUACGGCUAGAGCAGGGGUUCUCAAGCUCACCCUUUCCACAUUUGGGGCUGGAUAAUUCUUUGCUGUGCACAGUACAAUAUUCUGCAACAUCUGUAACCUUGACCACAAGAUGCCAUUAUCACCACCCCCCAUCCUCAGCUGUGACAAGUAAUGGCUCCAGAUUAUCUCCAAAUGGCCCCUGUGGAGCUCAGCUGUUCUCAGUUGAGAACCACAGGCCUAGCGGGAGCCAGAUAACCUUGUGUGCCAUUCUAAGAUGCUCAGAAGUUUGGAUUUUAUUCUCAAGUCAACAGGAAGUCAUUGGAGAAUGUUAAGCAGGGAAACCAUACUGUUUAUUGUAAACUGUUAAGUUUAUUGUAGUAAAUUCAACAAUGGCAACCGAGGAGGGCAACUUGGAAGGCUGCCAGUAUAGAGACUAUCACAACAGGAACAGGAAAGGGCCGAAGGCCUGAAGCAAAUCAAGUGCUGUAGGAAUGGAGAGGAAUAAAAUGAGGAGCAUGUUCAAAAUAUAGAACCUAACAGCACUGAGCAAAUGCAGGGGGUGAGAAAGAACCUUCUGGCCUGAAUAAGUGUGUGUGUCAUGGAGCUGCUGACUAACAGUAGCUAAAGGAAGAACAGGCUUGAGAAAAAAAGACUAAGAAUUCGGCAGCAGGCACACCAAGUUUGAGAUGGAGAAGGUAGCACAUGGAGAUGUCCAGCAGGUUGUUUCAUCUGUACAGAUCUGAGGAAGAGAUGGAGACUGGCAAGACAGCAUCGUAGAGGUGGCAACUGAAGCUACAGUGGCUGAGAAUAGCCAGGAAAGGCACUUAGACUGACAGGACAAGGCAGCUAAGCAGGACUGGUACUUUGCUAUGGCAGUCCUAGGAAAUUAAUACAGACAUUAAGUAGAUAAAGGGUAUUCUGGGCUUAUCCUUUAGAGAGCUAACAUACUGCAGUAAUAUAUUUUGAUUUUGACACAUGCAAAAUCAUAAUAAUGCCUAUAGACCAAUUUUUGUAAAGUCUUAUUUCAAAAACAUCAUCCUGUUAUAAUGCACAGCUGGACACUAGCUCUGCAAAAGUUAAUACAA